rnacentral:rRNA from 1 species
GACGAACGCUGGCGGCGUGCUUAACACAUGCCAGUCGAACGGAAAGGCCCUGCUUGCAGGGUGCUCGAGUGGCGAACGGGUGAGUAACACGUGGGUGAUCUGCCCCUUACUUUGGGAUAAGCCUGGGAAACUGGGUCUAAUACUGGAUAGGACCAUGCUGUAGGUGGUGUGGUGGAAAGAUUAGUUUCGGUAAGGGAUGAGCUCGCGGCCUUUCAGCUUGUUGGUGGGGUAAUGGCCUACCAAGGCGUCGACGGGUAGCCGGCCUGAGAGGGUGGACGGCCACAUUGGGACUGAGAUACGGCCCAGACUCCUACGGGAGGCAGCAGUGGGGAAUAUUGCACAAUGGGCGCAAGCCUGAUGCAGCGACGCCGCGUGGGGGAUGACGGCCUUCGGGUUGUAAACUCCUUGCAGCCAUGACGAAGCCCUUGUGGUGACGGUAGUGGUAGAAGAAGCACCGGCUAACUACGUG